rnacentral:rRNA from 1 species
AAAUUGAAGAGUUUGAUCAUGGCUCAGAUUGAACGCUGGCGGCAGGCCUAACACAUGCAAGUCGAGCGGAAACGACACUAACAAUCCUUCGGGUGCGUUAAUGGGCGUCGAGCGGCGGACGGGUGAGUAAUGCCUAGGAAAUUGCCUUGGUGUGGGGGAUAACCAUUGGAAACGAUGGCUAAUACCGCAUAAUGCCUACGGGCCAAAGAGGGGGAUCUUCGGACCUCUCGCGUCAAGAUAUGCCUAGGUGGGAUUAGCUAGUUGGUGAGGUAAUGGCUCACCAAGGCGACGAUCCCUAGCUGGUCUGAGAGGAUGAUCAGCCACACUGGAACUGAGACACGGUCCAGACU